UAUAAUUUCUCUUUAGGUCCUCUGAUGUAGUUUAUGUAGUUUGCCUUACUGCUUAAGAGACUAGGAAUAGGUGUUUUGACAUUGUCCAGCUCUUAAUGAACAUGUUUUCAGAAGGGGUGGGGGAAAUCUCAUUUGUUUAAUCUGCUGCGAAUAAAGGCUUUCAUUUAAGUCAGAAUUGCUCCUCUUUUUUUUUUUUUCCCCGCUGAUGAUAUUUUUUUGCAUUUAAUGCAAUUUAUUUUAAAACAAUACUAAUAUUUUUACUUUAUAAUUGUAAACAGGACAGCAUAGAUAUACCGUGCUGCUUUUUGGAUAAAAUAAAAUAAAUUGGCAACAAUAUUUUUGUGUUGGUAUAACUGUUAGCAGAAAGCCAUGAGCUGACAUAAAAUCAAAGUGGCUGUUGUGGCUUGCCUAUGUUUUAAACGCUGAUAUAUUUAUUGUAAACAGAAGUAGAUGUCACAAUGAGCAAACUUUCCUGUAUUGUCGUCUAACUGCACUAUAAAAAUUGCAUAGUGUUCUCCUAUGCUAUAAUUUAGAUGUUUAAAACAAAAUAUUUUCUGUGACAUGAUUGUCUGUAAGACAUUUCUGCUGUGUUUCCUUCAGCUGUUAUUAUAGCUUUAGUGUUCUUUUUUAUAACUUUUUUUUUUUUUUUUUAGACCAUUCACCUCUACAGUAUUAGAGCAAAACUGAACAGGGACUUCAACAAAUGUAGAAGACAGCAUAUCUGUGGUAAACCCAAGAAAAGAAACAAAGCUGGCAAAAACCUAAUACUUUAGGGAAUACAAAUAUAGCAAUAGGGAAGGGAAUUUUUCCCCUUUUGCCAGUGGAUAACCAUCAUAUCAACUCGUGUCUGUCAGAGCACCUGUUAAAUGUUUUGUGAAUCACAUAGGAAAGCUCUCUGAAACAUCUGCUCCAUAUUUAGGUUGGUUCUCUGAUCUACUUUAAAGGACAGAUACGGUAAAGCAAAGGCAGGAAUAGGGAGUCAAGGGAAUUGCAGAACAGUGGUCACAUGAUGCUCAUUUUUACCACAUAUGACAGCAUGAUUUCUGAAAAAGAGAUUGAUUCCUGUAUCUUGUAAGACUGUUGCAUGCAGUGAUAAUGAAAAAUUUUGUACUGAGUUUAAUUUAGCCUGACCUCUGAAAGGGCUUUUGUUGUAUUGUUUUUGAUAUAUUAAAAUGCUUCAAAUAUAAAUAAACCACAAAAUAUUAAUCA
rnacentral:lncRNA from 1 species